ACUCCUACGGGAGGCAGCAGUGGGGAAUAUUGCACAAUGGGCGCAAGCCUGAUGCAGCCAUGCCGCGUGUGUGAAGAAGGCCUUCGGGUUGUAAAGCACUUUCAGUCGUGAGGAAGGUGGUAGUGUUAAUAGCACUAUCAUUUGACGUUAGCGACAGAAGAAGCACCGGCUAACUCCGUGCCAGCAGCCGCGGUAAUACGGAGGUGCGAGCGUUAAUCGGAAUUACUGGGCGUAAAGCGCAUGCAGGUGGUUGUUAAGUCAGAUGUGAAAGCCCGGGGCUCAACCUCGGAAUAGCAUUUGAAACUGGCAGACUAGAGUACUGUAGAGGGGGUAGAAUUUCAGGUGUAGCGGUGAAAUGCGUAGAGAUCUGAAGGAUACCGGUGCGAAGCGGCCCCUGGACAGAUACUGACACUCAGAUGCGAAAGCGUGGGAGCAAACAGGAUUAGAUA
rnacentral:rRNA from 1 species